rnacentral:rRNA from 1 species
UACAGAGGGUGCAAGCGUUAAUCGGAAUUACUGGGCGUAAAGCGUGCGCAGACGGUUGCGUAAGUCAGAUGUGAAAGCCCCCGGCUCAACUGGGGAGGGUCACUCGAUACUGAUCGACUUGAAGGCAGGAGAGGGAAGCGGAAUUCCCGGUGUAGUGGUGAAAUGCGUAGAUAUCAGGAGGAACACCGGUGGCGAAGGCGGGUCACUGGGCCGUA